AAAAUGUCAAUUCAGAAUUGUUUUUUUAAUCUAUCAAAAACAACCUUGAAGGGCAAGGCUUAUCCACUGCACUCCGGAUUGCUGACCCCUGUGAUUUCCCCAAAUGUGGGAAACUCAACUGCAUAAUUUGUGGUAGUGGGGAAGGACUGCAUUCGCGCUCUCCCCUA
ensembl:snRNA U1 U1 spliceosomal RNA